UACGGGGGGGGCAAGCGUUGUUCGGAUUUACUGGGCGUAAAGUGUGCGCAGGUGGCCGCGCAAGUCGAGUGUGAAAUCCCCGAGCUUAACUUGGGAAUUGCGCUCGAAACUACGUGGCUCGAGUGUGGCAGAGGAAGGUGGAAUUCCACGUGUAGCGGUGAAAUGCGUAGAGAUGUGGAGGAACACCGAUGGCGAAGGCAGCCUUCUGGGCCAACACUGACGCUCAUGCACGAAAGCGUGGGGAGCAAACAGG
rnacentral:rRNA from 1 species